UCCUUUAGAUUCCUUGCCCAUCAGAUCUAAACACUGGGCUGAGUGCUUAUAAAAUGAAGACAAGUAAAAUAGAAACUGAUUUCAAUUCUUUUGUGACAUACGAGCUAGUUUCAAACAAAC
rnacentral:snoRNA from 1 species